rnacentral:rRNA from 1 species
UACGUAGGGACCAAGCGUUGUUCGGAUUUACUGGGCGUAAAGCGCGCGUAGGCGGAUCGCUAAGUCAGGGGUGAAAUCCCAGGGCUCAACCCUGGAACUGCCUUUGAUACUGACGGUCUGGAGAUCGGGAGAGGUUGGUGGAAUUCCGAGUGUAGAGGUGAAAUUCGUAGAUAUUCGGAGGAACACCAGAAGCGAAGGCGGGCCAACUGGCCCGAUACU